AGAGUUUGAUUCUGGCUCAGGACGAACGCUGGCGGCGUGCUUAACACAUGCAAGUCGAGCGGUAAGGCCCUUUCGGGGGUACACGAGCGGCGAACGGGUGAGUAACACGUGGGUGACCUGCCCUCAGCUCUGGGAUAAGCCUGGGAAACCGGGUCUAAUACCGGAUACGACUCCACGACGCAUGUUGUGGGGUGGAAAGCCUUGUGCGGCUGGGGAUGGGCCCGCGGCCUAUCAGCUUGUUGGUGGGGUGAUGGCCUACCAAGGCGACGACGGGUAGCCGGCCUGAGAGGGCGACCGGCCACACUGGGACUGAGACACGGCCCAGACUCCUACGGGAGGCAGCAGUGGGGAAUCUUGCGCAAUGGGCGAAAGCCUGACGCAGCGACGCCGCGUGAGGGAUGACGGCCUUCGGGUUGUAAACCUCUUUCAGCUCCGACGAAGCGAAAGUGACGGUAGGAGCAGAAGAAGCACCGGCCAACUACGUGCCAGCAGCCGCGGUAAU
rnacentral:rRNA from 1 species